rnacentral:lncRNA from 1 species
UUUCGAUUGAUGGUUUUUAAUUGAGAGUGGCUUACUUGAUCAUUUCGAUGGUGUCUAAGGCAAGCUUGGUAGACCCUCCCAUCGAUUUCACUUAUCUGGCCAAUUUAGUAGAUUAUAUCUUGAUGAGACCACUAAGUGAUUCGAGUUGACCCAUGAUAUUAAGGUUGAUCAGUGUGACUGAUCUAGGUACCAUUUCAAUGAGCAUGAUCCUAAUCC